UACGUAGGGGGCAAGCGUUGUCCGGAUUCAUUGGGCGUAAAGAGCUCGUAGGCGGCUUGGCUAGUCGGGUGUGAAACCUCCAGGCUCAACCUGGAGACGCCACCCGAUACUGCCAUGGCUAGAGUCCGGUAGGGGACCACGGAAUUCCUGGUGUAGCGGUGAAAUGCGCAGAUAUCAGGAGGAACACCGGUGGCGAAGGCGGUGGUCUGGGCCGGAACUGACGCUGAGGAGCGAAAGCGUGGGGAGCGAACAGG
rnacentral:rRNA from 1 species